CCAGACUCCUACGGGAGGCAGCAGUGAGGAAUAUUGGUCAAUGGUCGGGAGACUGAACCAGCCAAGUCGCGUGAGGGAAGACUGCCCUAUGGGUUGUAAACCUCUUUUGUCAGGGAGCAACGCCGGCUACGUGUAGCCGGACUGAGAGUACCUGAAGAAAAAGCAUCGGCUAACUCCGUGCCAGCAGCCGCGGUAAUACGGAGGAUGCGAGCGUUAUCCGGAUUUAUUGGGUUUAAAGGGUGCGCAGGCGGAGGUGCAAGUCAGCGGUCAAAUUUCGGGGCUCAACCCCGUCGUGCCGUUGAAACUGGCGUUCUUGAGUGAGCGAGAAGUAUGCGGAAUGCGUGGUGUAGCGGUGAAAUGCAUAGAUAUCACGCAGAACUCCGAUUGCGAAGGCAGCAUACCGGCGCCCAACUGACGCUGAAGCACGAAAGCGUGGGUAUCGAACAGGAUUAGAUACCCCCGUA
rnacentral:rRNA from 1 species